rnacentral:rRNA from 1 species
UACAGAGGGUGCAAACGUUGCUCGGAAUUACUGGGCGUAAAGCGCGUGUAGGCGGUUCGUUAAGUCGUCUGUGAAAUCCCAUGGCUCAACCAUGGAAGUGCAUACGAUACUGGCAAACUUGAGUCCUGGAGAGGGUGGCGGAAUUCCCAGUGUAGAGGUGAAAUUCGUAGAUAUUGGGAGGAACACCGGUGGCGAAGGCGGCCGCCUGGACAGGUACUGACGCUGAGACGCGAAAGCGCGGGUAGCAAACAGG